UCCCGAUGUAAAUAUGGGGCGGGAAGAUUUCUGCUCAAGGGCCGUGUUGGGCUCGAAAAAGAAGCCUCUUGUGCUUCUGCAGUCGGUAAAUAUGAUUAAGAUGGCAAAAACUCAUUCCUUCUCGUCGCAAAUGCCUGCACCUGUUGUCGCGACUGAGAAUUUUCAAUAAUUUGGCACCAAUGGGCUGCAGUGCAAAGAAACAUUGGCAGAUUUAUGGGGGUUGACAUGGAUUUGAGGAGGCCAUGGCAGAAUUCGAGGGAGGACAUGAAAAUGUGUGUGUAUAAGCUGCAUUGGUUGUGAUACAGAAUAUACAUGGAUGAUUCACAGUGAAGGCUUAUCAUCAUACGAAGAACCAGUGUCAAGCUCUAAACUACCAGGAUGUUUGUUGGGCUUACAUACUGCAGUGCCAGAAGACAUGGAGACAGCUGUUACACAGAGCCAUAGAAUACAUGAUUCAUGGCUACCAGGAAGACACAGGCAGAAGUCCACAGUAAAGUAUUGCAGUCUUUGCAGUAUUUCCCUAUUUCCCAGGAAGACGAAAUUGUGAUUUCAGCUGAACCAACAAUUCUUCCCCGUAUUUGGGAUAAGAUACGCUACCAUGUGUCUCCAUCAUCAGCCCCAGGGCAGACCUCGAUGAAACAUCAUACGCGUGAUUAGAAUUAAGCCAAGUGGAUAUGUGUGUAUAUGUGUGUAUUUAUGUAUGUAUGUAUAUAUUUAUCUCUG